rnacentral:rRNA from 1 species
GACGAACGCUGGCGGCGUGCUUAACACAUGCAAGUCGAACGAAGAGCGAUGGAAGCUUGCUUCUAUCAAUCUUAGUGGCGAACGGGUGAGUAACGCGUAAUCAACCUGCCCUUCAGAGGGGGACAACAGUUGGAAACGACUGCUAAUACCGCAUACGAUCUAAUCUCGGCAUCGAGGAUAGAUGAAAGGUGGCCUCUACAUGUAAGCUAUCACUGAAGGAGGGGAUUGCGUCUGAUUAGCUAGUUGGAGGGGUAACGGCCCACCAAGGCGAUGAUCAGUAGCCGGUCUGAGAGGAUGAACGGCCACAUUGGGACUGAGACACGGCCCAGACUCCUACGGGAGGCAGCAGUGGGGAAUCUUCCGCAAGGGACGAAAGUCUGACGGAGCAACGCCGCGUGAGUGAUGACGGCCUUCGGGUUGUAAAGCUCUGUUAAUCGGGACGAAAGGCCUUCUUGCGAACAGUUAGAAGGAUUGACGGUACCGGAAUAGAAAGCCACGGCUAACUACGUG